rnacentral:rRNA from 1 species
CCUAUGGGAGGCAGCAGUGAGGAAUAUUGGUCAAUGGGCGCGAGCCUGAACCAGCCAAGUCGCGUGAGGGAGGACGGCCCUACGGGUUGUAAACCUCUUUUGCCGGGGAGCAACGGGCGCCACGUGUGGCGUAACUGAGAGUACCCGGAGAAAAAGCAUCGGCUAACUCCGUGCCAGCAGCCGCGGUAAUACGGAGGAUGCGAGCGUUAUCCGGAUUUAUUGGGUUUAAGGGGUGCGUAGGCGGAUCGUUAAGUCAGUGGUCAAAUUGAGGGGCUCAACCCCUUCCCGCCAUUGAAACUGGCGUUCUUGAGUGGAAGAGAAGUAUGCGGAAUGCGUGGUGUAGCGGUGAAAUGCAUAGAUAUCACGCAGAACCCCGAUUGCGAAGGCAGCAUGCCGGCUUCCGACUGACGCUGAAGCACGAAAGCGUGGGGAUCGAACAGGAUUAGAUACCCUUGUAGUC